UUUUAUUCCACUCAGCUAGCUCAUUUUUUCUCCCUCCUUAGAAUCUGACAGGCCAAGGAGAAUUCUGAUUUCAAAGGGAUGCUUAGAAUCUGUACUGAUGCCAUCUAGAAAUGUAAAUGCUCAGUGUCACACUGCUAAGGGAGAAAGGGUUCCAUUGAUAUUGUUGACAUGGGAGGCUGUUACAGUGUGAGGCUGCUACUUGGAGCUUCAUGAAAGUGACAAGGCACAUAAUUCUUCUCGCUCUGUCUCCAAGUGCAUUCUUUAGAGAAGAAAGGUCAAAUCCAGUGAAUUACACAGCACAGGAAAUGAAAG
rnacentral:lncRNA from 1 species